rnacentral:lncRNA from 1 species
UGGGGAUUGAAUCCAGGGGUACUGAACCACUGAGCCACAUCCCCUGCCCUUUUUAUUUUUUAUUUUGAGGUAGGGUUUUGCUACAUUGCUGAGGCUGACCUUGAACUUGCGAUCCUCCUGCCUCAGCCUCCUGAACCACUGGGAUUACAGGCGUGGCCACAAGCAGCAUUUGCCGUUUUGUGAGGCUUAUAUCACUUAGCAAGGUGUCCUCAAGUUUCACCCAGGUUGCAGCACAAAUCAGAAUUUCCUUCCAUUGCCAGGUAUAGUGUAAUCCCAGAGGCUCGGGAGGCUGAGGCGGGACGAUUCGAAACCAUCCUCAGCAACUUAGUGAGACUGUACACAACCAAGUGAGAUCCCGUCUCAAAAUAAAAAAUAAAAUGGGGGGCUGGG